rnacentral:rRNA from 1 species
CGGACGGGUGAGUAACGCGUGAGCAAUCUGCCCAUAUCUGGGGGAUAACAGUUAGAAAUGACUGCUAAUACCGCAUAUGACACGGGAAGGCAUCUUUCCGGGGUGAAAGAUUUAUCGGAUAUGGAUGAGCUCGCGUCCCAUUAGGUAGUUGGUGAGGUAACGGCCCACCAAGCCGACGAUGGGUAGCCGGCCUUAGAGGGUGAUCGGCCACAUUGGAACUGAGACACGGUCCAAACUCCUACGGGAGGCAGCAG